UAAGGAAUAUUGGUCAAUGGACGCAAGUCUGAACCAGCCAUGCCGCAUGAAGGAUUAAGGCCCUCUGGGUUGUAAACUUCUUUUAUAGGGGAAGAAAUGUGACGGUUCUCCGUCACUUGACGGUACCCUGGGAAUAAGCACCGGCUAACUCCGUGCCAGCAGCCGCGGUAAUACGGAGGGUGCGAGCGUCACCCGGAUUUACUGGGUGUAAAGGGCGUGUAGGCGGUUUCUCAAGUCCGAUGCUAAAGACCGAAGCUCAACUUCGGGAGGGCGUUGGAUACUGUGAGGCUAGACGGUCGGAGAGGGUAGCGGAAUUUCCUGAGUAGCGGUGAAAUGCGCAGAUACAGGAAGGAACGCCAAUAGCGAAAGCAGCUACCUGGACGAUUUGUGACGCUGAGGCGCGAAAGCGUGGGGAGCAAACC
rnacentral:rRNA from 1 species